ACUGGACAACAAAUCCCUGUUUGGGAAGCCCCCUCAUGGUCACAAGGGGCAUGCUACAAGGGCUGCCCUGGAAACCAGUCGUGUGAAAGCUGUACUCGAACGAACCUGCGCGACUUAUAAGUGUUCUGAUGCACCAAUCAAAAGGAGUCUCAGCUCCAUGCUGCACAAAAUUAACAGGAAAGCAGCAGGGAACACCUCACCACACCAGGAAUGAAGCCCACGAAUUUCCAACGCCAAUUACCCGCACCUCACCACGUCAUGUCUGUCGCAUACCCACUGAAAAUGGAAUAAAGAAACAGUACCAAUGA